rnacentral:tRNA from 2 species
GGCGCGAUGGCGGAGUGGUUAACGCGAGAGACUAGAAUUUGACCGACAAAGUCUAAUCAUUACUAAUCUCUUCUCUUCGGAGGCGUAGGUUCGAAUCCUGCUCGCGUCG